rnacentral:rRNA from 1 species
GACGAACGCUGGCGGCGUGCUUAACACAUGCAAGUCGAACGGAAAGGCCCUGCUUUUGUGGGGUGCUCGAGUGGCGAACGGGUGAGUAACACGUGAGUAACCUGCCCUUGACUUUGGGAUAACUUCAGGAAACUGGGGCUAAUACCGGAUAGGAGCUCCUGCUUCAUGGUGGGGGUUGGAAAGUUUCGGCGGUUGGGGAUGGACUCGCGGCUUAUCAGCUUGUUGGUGGGGUAGUGGCUUACCAAGGCUUUGACGGGUAGCCGGCCUGAGAGGGUGACCGGCCACAUUGGGACUGAGAUACGGCCCAGACUCCUACGGGAGGCAGCAGUGGGGAAUAGUGCACAAUGGGCGGAAGCCUGAUGCAGCAACGCCGCGUGCGGGAUGACGGCCUUCGGGUUGUAAACCGCUUUCGCCUGUGACGAAGCGUGAGUGACGGUAAUGGGUAAAGAAGCACCGGCUAACUACGUG